AGACUUCUUUUUUUCCCUAUCAAGUGAUUUUUAACAGUGACACUAAAAUUUCACAUAAAUGUAUGUGUGUAUCUACAAAAAGAGUAUUGUCUUUCAAGGGCUUUUACUGUAAAAACCGUUGUUGCACAUUUUUUAACAUCUCUUUCCCACAACUAGGUUGGCUAUUCACCCCAAAAAAGAGGAAAGAAAAAACAACAAAAAGAGCACCCACCUAGAAAUUGACUAAAUCCUAGUUAAUUACAUUUU
rnacentral:lncRNA from 1 species